rnacentral:rRNA from 1 species
UACGUAGGUGGCAAGCGUUGUCCGGAUUUAUUGGGUUUAAAGGGUGCGUAGGCGGCUUGAUAAGUCAGUGGUGAAAGCCGAUCGCUUAACGAUCGAACUGCCAUUGAUACUGCCAGGCUUGAGUAUAGUUGAGGUAGGCGGAAUUGACAGUGUAGCGGUGAAAUGCAUAGAUAUUGUCAAGAACACCAAUUGCGAAGGCAGCUUACUAAAGUAUAACUGACGCUGAGGCACGAAAGUACGGGGGAUCAAAACAGG